CUUGACAUACUCUCGAAUAGUCCCAGUUUGUUUGAGAUGCCUUAAGUUUCGUCGGGCAAUGAAUUCCACAUUCUCUGGCAAAAACUGUGCCUUAAUCUCCCUCUUCAAGUCCUCCCAGCUGGUAAUGGUACACCACCCGGCUUGGAUGUCUUCAUACCAAGUCCGCCACCAUAAUUUGGCAUCCCCGGUUAAGUACAUUGUAGCCAAGAUAAUUUUGGUGUCUUCAGAGUCAGGCCGCACCACUCAAAAGUACUACUCGAUGUCGAACAAGAAGUUCUCUAACUCCUUUGCAUCAUGAGCUCCACCAUAACUUCGAGGCUCUGGUGCUCACAUUCGGCCUUGCCCACCAUCACCAGCAGUUGGAGUUGGUAUGGUACUGACUGCUCGGGUCAAGACUGCGACUCUAGCAGCUAGAUCAUUGAAUUGCUCCCGCAGGUGCUGGAUAGACUCCUGCGUGUUGUCGCUAAGGUUGUCCAUCGUCUCGAUGAGCUGCUCUUGAUUCAACUCCAAGCUAGUCAGAAGAUCUCUCAGGGAGAACAAGGGCACCAAGCCCUCCUCAAGCUGGGCCAAAUGGGUUUCCACCGUAGAGAUCCGCUCUCGAUGGCUUCACGGUUUCUCAAUGUCGGCUUGUCCUUCCAUAGGGGCUGAGGCGGCAACCAUUGCCUCCUCCUCUUGCAUCAUCCCAUUUGUCUCACCACUGUUCUUGCAUCCCAUCUGUGUUGCGCAGGUUCCUUCGAUCGUGCCUGCUCUGAUACCACUUUGUCACGGACUUCGCCUCUUGGACGAGCAAACCCGUGCGGCACCCCGAUGUCACCUGCACAAAGGAGCCAGCCAAAAUGCACCCAGCAAGAUGCAUAGAAAAAUACAAAAAAAAGGCACGGCAACAUGCUCAGAUAUGGCACUGUAAGAACAGUAUUUUCAUUAAUGAAAUCAGAGGAAUACAAGCCUAUACAACCACUACUCAGACUACAAUUAGGGGCUCAGGAGGCAGGGGAGGAAACAAUGGACACCGCAAGAAUCCGCAAGGAAACCGGCCCACUGGAUUGUUCUCGCCCAUCCUCCCAACACUAUACAAGCAGGGCAUCCACCCAAAUCCCACCCCGAGGGUUCCAAAUGAUCGAGCGGCAUUGCAUUUUCAUGGCUCGCCUUCGGAAGCCCCGACAUGAUGAAAACACCCCAAAACCCACCAAAAACAAGAAAAAAUGGUGUGGCGGCGAUUGU
rnacentral:lncRNA from 1 species